rnacentral:lncRNA from 1 species
CGGCGGCUGCGCGGUGGCGCGCGCGUAGGCGGAGCGGCGCGCGCCGCGGUCAGCUGACUGCUCCGGCUGGCACGUGACUUGUUUCGUGGGCUCUGGGGUCCAGGAAGCCGUGAGGCCGGAGCUUAGGUCGGGUAGGGAUGGAGCGCUGAGCCGUUAACGUCUGCCAGGCUGUACACCUCUGUACCUGUUACUGCUGCCACUUCCUCGUUUGACACUUCCCUGGGAUUUGCUAAGCCAGAUGUGGCAAAUUUAUUUGGUGGCUACUGUUCAAAUGCAUUGAUUCAAUUCUUUUUCAAAGGUAAGAGUUAUGCAUGUUUUUUUACUUCCUAUUUUGGUUUUAUGUUUUAAAAAUUUAAGAUAAACCUAUAAAUUUGUGACU